ACUUUGGUUGGCAAAGCACUUCUGUCAUUUUUUUAAUGAUCUCUGUCACCCUCCACAGCGAUUUCCCAUGCAGGGAAAGUUAGCACGGCCCCUCGCUGAGUUACCCGAAAGUGCCUUCUUUAUGCCAUUCCUUUUUCCUUUGGAGCUUGUAACUCUUGUUGAGUGGCUGGUAAUCAGACUGCAGAGAAGCAGGAGAGAUGGGUCGGUAGGCUGUAGCCACAGCAUGAGGGCUAUCGGCCCCCCCAGGCCGGGGCAGCCAUCACCUGUCGGAAGCACCUGUGGCUGCUCAGCUGGCUCUGUGCUCUCCAUCCACCACCGUGGCACCUCAGACAGACCAGCUGUGGUGAAGCGGAGAGCCAGGGCAGGCCUCGGCUACCAGGGCCCUCCCCUCAGCCGUGCUGUGUCCCCAGCAAAGAAGGCAGUGAGCGGCAGCUCUGCUGCUGCCCCAGCGUGACCACAAACCCUCCGCACACCACCUCCUCGUCCUGCCCUCCUGCUGGCAGAGGCCCAGGUCUGGAUCAGUGGCUCAGCAGUUACACGGCUGUGUCCUGGCGGGGCUGGAGCUCUGGCCCCUUGCAGCCCACCCAGCCAGCAGCUGUCCCCAUGCAGAGGUGACAAGGAGUGCUGGCUUGUGCAACCGAGCUCCAGCCACAGUGUGUGCCUGCAGCUGACACGCAGGACAAGGCACACCCAGUGAGAAGCAGAAAGUUCAUCCUGGCUCCAGCCAAGCUCACAGUCUUCAUGGGGUUACUGUCAACACUAGCUGGUGGAGCUCAUUUGAGCAGGGAAAAACGACGAGCAAAACUUAGAGGAGGGGCAGAGCCAAAUCCGUCAGCUCUGUCCAGAGCAGAGUUAGGUAAAACUGCAGUUUCUUCAGCUCCUUCAUCCCCUUAUUCCUAGCGGAAGGACACAAAGAAAACAGACUGUGACGGCAAACCUGAUCUUGUAUCACUCUGGCACUGCAUUUCAGCUGUCAGGUGCUAGCAGAAAUCAUUGGAAUUCAUGUGUAUGUGACUGUGAAUCCUUUUUUUGUGUACAUGGAAGGAACACCCCGGUAUCUCCACCCGAUCCUGAAGCUAACCUCCUUCUGCUCUGAGAUUUCCAUGUAAGUUUAUACGGCUGUUCUUCCUAAUUGCUGAAAGGCUUUUAUUUAUCACCCCCCGCUGUGUCUUCACACAGGAGUGUGUGAAUUCUUUCUGUCUCCUCCCUUCCGAGUGCACUAUAUGCUUUCGAGGCUGCAGAGCACUCCCUGCCCCAAGAAAUACCACAGCUUGCCCUUCAGGUGAUCCCUUUGGGUUAUUCCACCCCAGCCCCUGGCAGAGACUACUAUUUCAGAAUGUUGCUAAACCAACACCAUUUUUCUGCAAGCUCCCCUCAUCAAUCCAGGAGGCUUGGAGGAACAGUUGCUCCAUCUCUGGAUCAAGAUAACUUCUGACAUCAUGUAAUGUUUUAUAAAUACUUGAGGCAGGUUUUUCAGGAGGGGAGGCACACUACCCAUUAUUAAGUUCACAGGCAGUCAGCUCUGUCUGAGUUUACUCAGGCAUUUAGAAACUUUUGAAGUUUUACUUCAGAACUCAAAUUUCACUUUUCAGUAGAUGCAGGACAUUCUUAGCAGUUUGGUAUGAUCACUAGCACAGUCACAUCCACACCAAAAUCACAUGAUUUCAUUUCUUAGUUAUGUGAGUGCAACUAGAUACCCCAACACCAUCCAUCUACCAUGUACCACACUCCUUUCGUAUCUCUGUACAUGCAGUCCUGGUUCCUUUUGGGACGUUUUUAGCAAGGUGGCAAGCUGUGGUGCCAAGGUAUAAAGUGCACAUGAAGUGCAGAGCAGUUCAUCAGCACAACUGGUGGUAUGGCCACAGAUCACGUUCCAAAGUGGACUGAACUGUGUUGUGUAUACACCAGAGAGAAAAAUCCCAAGCCACUGAGAAUACUGUUAAAUAAAUAAAGUUAUAUUUAUUUAUUUGACUCAAGAAAAGGUAGUGACUAAAAUACUGAGAGAGAUCACAGUGACAACGAAAUAAAUAAAACUGUAAUAAUCAGUGAGUCCAGCUUCCCUCCUACUAAGUGGUCGAAUGGGGCAAGCAAAACAAGUUCUUGAGCUCCAUGGUAAUCACAAUUGAAAUAACUAGCUUUGGAGCAUGCGAGAGAGGAGGCUAUUCUUAGCCAUGCCAUAGCUACUGUAGGCGAGCUGGCUAGAGAGGGAGCUGCAGCCAAAGCAGCUGUGAGUGUGGUGUGCAGUGCUGUACUUAUUUGAAAGCAAAGCUGUUUCUUUAUUGAGAAUGCACAGAAACAACUGAGGAGAAACCAGCUGUUUUAGAAUACUUUAGGAAAUAGGUGAAUUAGAUCUGACUGAUAGUGAUAACUGAAAUAAUGAAUGAAAGACAAAAGUUGCAUCAGGGAAUUCUCAGACAUCUUUCAUCAUGACAGAACCAAAAGCCAUGCAAGAUAUGGAAAGUGAUAUGGAAAGAGAUUUUUCUUUCAAGAUAAGGAAAGAUCUUUCUUGUUUUGGCAAAUUGUUCCCAGUCAGAGGAGCAGGAGGCUCAGCUGCAGAGCAGGUUCUUGCUUGCACGAGGCUGAGGGAAGUUGCUCAGACUUUGUACUCACAAGUAUUUUUUUCAGUUUGUGUGUAAUAUGUGAAAGAAAUAUUACUGAGACCUUACUAGUACUCAAGAAAGGACAAUCAAAUGCUCAAAACAGGUCAUGAGCUUAUCUACAGUGAUAUUAGCUAGGAUAAAAACCUUAAGAGAUUUAAAUGCUUAUGAUUCACUUCAUAUAUAAGCACUGACUGAUGAGACUGAAGGAAAUAUUUCCCUUUAGGGCAGGCUUUUCCAUAAUUAACCAUUACAGCCACAUUUCUUCUGGUCCAGGAUAUCAGACUACAGAGAGAGCUGAGUGAUCCAGGGUGCAUCUUCCUGCAAGGCAAUCCCAGCUCUCAGGCGCACCUACUGCUUACACACAGUCCAUUUUUGUUUUUCAUCACACAGAUGCUUUGUUUUCCCCCACUUAUUUCUUUAUCUCCGUUUAAAGCUUCUUCCCAAGUAACAUAGCUGAAAAACUUCCAGUCAUUGGGAACACUGAUCUGAUGUUACCUGUAAAUAGACAGCAAUAUACACAAGUGCUCCUUGAUUGUAUGCAUGUUUGUUGUUAUUGAAGGACAUACUGUGGGCUAUGCAGAAUAUUAUUUCAAGAGGGACUCCCAGUUAAACUGAAAAACAAACAAACAAACAAACAAACAAAAACAAAACAAAACCACCUAUUUCUGGCACUGUGGAAUUCCUUGGUACAGUCUCUGGCCUGCUUUGGGCAGAACCUUGCUUCAACCAGUUGGUGACACAUGGAGCAGCUCUGUGCAUUCUGACUGAGGGAAACCAACAUUCACAGCAGUAGCGUGAUCUGUAACAAAUAAUCUGUAACACAAAGGCAUUGAAAGUUAAAAUCAACUCCCCUUUCUUUUGACAGACCUUUAUGUGCCUUCCACUGGAAAUCCUGAUGUUUGCAGUUAAAACAGAAAUGUCUAAGAAGUAUACUUUUGUCAGUAUCUUUCUUGACUAGAGGCUAAAAUUGAGUACAGUGUGUAACCGUGAUGCAAUAAAGAGGCUUCAGGAAAGAAAAGAGCAUGAGAUGUGUAUGUUAUAGAUGUAAAUAUCACUGGCAGAGCUGUGCUGCAGAAUAAAUUGAAAAGCUUAUAAUGGGUUUCUGUCAAGAGGUUGCAUAAUAGUUAGAAAGGCAAUACACAGUUCAAAUUCACAGUUCAAGUCUAGAAAUGGCAGCAGAUGGAAAAGUAUUGAUUCAUAUUAGUGACAGUAAAAAAUAAAGGAAAUAAUUGAGCUACUUCAGCUGGUUUCAUGCUGAAAGAACAGUGCUCCUUUUACAGGUGCUCCUUGCUACUGGGUGUCAGGGUGACAGCUGUAGAGAUGCCUGUAUAUCAACUACUGAUUUACAUCUUUGAGCUCUGAGGGCCAGAUAAGUUAAUUUUAAUACCUAUCAAUGCUGAAUAUGAUGAAUCUGUAUUCAGCUAAAGCAACUGAAAGCAGAGUCAUGUCUUA